UUCUUAUCGAAUAAUAAUUAUCAUGUGUCAUGUUCUGAUCGGAUGUUAAUUUCAUAAAAGAUGAAAUGUAUUAUUUUUUCAUUGACCAAUCAAAUAAGUUACAGAAACUAAUUCUGA
rnacentral:pre_miRNA from 1 species